GUGUUUGUAUAGCUUUAUGCCAACGUAUUACUUGGGAUUGAAUUGAAGCAAGGAGUGUAUUACUAUAAAAUCAAAUAAGGAUGAAGCCUAUGUUUUCAUUUUUGUUUGUUGUGUUUAUUCUUUCCAUUGGGAUUGGUCCAUUCAAAGUUGUUGCAGAGGCAAGAAUUUGUGACACAAAAUUGUACGACUAUUGUGAAGCAGAGUGUUUCACUGAUUGUCCCAAGAAAUAUGGAAAGAAAGCCCAAGGUCUAUGCAAUGAAGCAAGUCAGUGCAUAUGUCGUCGGCAAUGUUAAGUAGUGUUUGACCUUCUCCUCCAAUGAUGUCUUUAUCAAUGCUACUUUAUGUAACCCUAAUGGGGGAUGUUUGGAUUCAAAGAAAUAAAAUUACUUUUUCAUAACUA